CUACGGGAUGCAGCAGUCGAGAAUCUUCCGCAAUGGGCGAAAGCCUGACGGAGCGACGCCGCGUGCGGGAUGAAGGCCUUCGGGUUGUAAACCGCUGUCAGUGGGGAGGAAAUUACUUCGGUAUUGGCCGAUCCGCAGAGGAAGCGCAGGCUAAGUUCGUGCCAGCAGCGCGGUAACACGAACUGCGCAAACGUUAUUCGGAAUCACUGGGCUUAAAGAGUUCGUAGGCGGCCAAGUCAGUCGGGUGUGAAAUCCCUCGGCUCAACCGAGGAACUGCGCCCGAUACUGCUUGGCUUGAGUAAGUUAGAGGUGAGCGGAACUGAUGGUGGAGCGGUGAGAUGCGUUGAUAUCAUCAGGAACACCGGUGGCGAAAGCGGCUCACUGGAGCUUUUCUGACGCUGAGGAACGAAAGCUAGGGGAGCGAACGGGAUUAGAUACCCGCGUAGUC
rnacentral:rRNA from 1 species